ACCUGCUCCGAAUGCUGUCGCUGCCGAUCUCCUCCUCCAAGGUGGUCUUCACCGACAGGCUGUGUGGCGACCGCUCUCUCUCCGCCGCCUGGCCCGUCAUCCUCAGACCUGCAGUGGUUCCCCCCAGAAGCACAAGCACGUAGUCCACCUGAUGCUCAGAUGCAGCAGCACACGCAGGAUGUGCGCUGCAGGGCGGGGAAACCUUUGGAUGGUUCAGAGCCCAGAUGUCAGCUACAGACCGAGGAGUCCUCUGGGGAAACCUCCUGGCGGUGUCUUUCCUCUGCACGUCUCUGACACUGGAGAAUAGCGAGAUGCAGCACGAAGCAGGCAACUCAACAGUGGAUCUCUAUGGCAGAAGCCGACAUGGGAAACUACACUACUACGCUCUAAACACCAGACCUGUAACUCUCCACGCUC